GUGCUCACUUCAGCAGCACACAUACUAAAAUUGGAACAAUAUGGAGAUUAGCAUGACCCCUAUACAAGGAUGACACAUAAAUUCGUGAAGCAUUCUGUAUUUUU
ensembl:snRNA U6 U6 spliceosomal RNA